rnacentral:rRNA from 1 species
UACAGAGGGGGCAAGCGUUGUUCGGAAUUACUGGGCGUAAAGGGCGCGUAGGCGGCCUUCUAAGUCGAACGUGAAAUCCCCGGGCUCAACCCGGGAACUGCGUCCGAUACUGGAAGGCUUGAAUCCGGGAGAGGGAUGCGGAAUUCCAGGUGUAGUGGUGGAAUGCGUAGAGAUCCGGAGGAACACCAGCGGCGAAGGCGGCAUCCUGGACUGGUCCUGACACUCAUGAGCGAAAGCGUGGGGAGCGAUCCGG